rnacentral:rRNA from 1 species
AUACGUAGGGGGCUAGCGUUAUCCGGAAUUACUGGGCGUAAAGGGCGCGCAGGCGGCGAGGCAAGUCCGGCGUGAAAGACCCCGGCCCAACCGGGGGGACGCGCUGGAAACUGCAGGGCUUGAGUACAGGAGGGGAUGCCGGAAUUCCAGGUGUAGGGGUGAAAUCUGUAGAUAUCUGGAAGAACACCAAUGGCGAAGGCAGGCAUCUGGCCAUGUACUGACGCUGAGACGCGAAGGUGCGGGGAGCAAACAGGUUUAGAUACCCUGGUAGUCCGCACAGUAAACGAUGUGCACCAGGUGGCGGGGGGUCGACCCCCGGUACCGUAGCUAACGCAUUAAGUGCACCGCCUGGGGAGUAUGCUCGCAAGGGUGAAACUCAAAUGAAUUGACGGGG